rnacentral:rRNA from 1 species
UUGCACGCUGGCGGCAGGCCUCACCCCUGCAAGUCGAGCGGAUGAAGGGGGCUUGCUCCUGGAUUCAGCGGCGGACGGGUGAGUAAUGCCUAGGAAUCUGCCUGGUAGUGGGGGAUAACGUCCGGAAACGGGCGCUAAUACCGCAUACGUCCUGAGGGAGAAAGUGGGGGAUCUUCGGACCUCACGCUAUCAGAUGAGCCUAGGUCGGAUUAGCUAGUUGGUGGGGUAAAGGCCUACCAAGGCGACGAUCCGUAACUGGUCUGAGAGGAUGAUCAGUCACACUGGAACUGAGACGCGGUCCAGACUCCUACGGGAGGCAGCAGUGGGGAAUAUUGGACAAUGGGCGAAAGCCUGAUCCAGCCAUGCCGCGUGUGUGAAGAAGGUCUUCGGAUUGUAAAGCACUUUAAGUUGGGAGGAAGGGCAGUAAGUUAAUACCUUGCUGUUUUGACGUUACCAACAGAAUAAGCACCGGCUAACUUCGUG